CUUCGUCUGUAACAAUCAAUAUAUAUAUAUGAAAUGAUGAUUCGUGGAUGGCCUGAGCGUAGAGUAAAUGGAAUCUACACGAGUGGAGAAUAAAGUCAGCAUGCGAAAACAUUCCUAAUUUACGCAUGUGCGACUCUCCCACCCCAUUUCUCUCUUUCCUCUUCUACCCCGCUCUCAGGUUCGCUCCCCCUUUCUCUUGCCCGCUUCUCUCUCUUUCUCUCUCUUCACACUCUUCCUCUGUUCUCUACCUACUUCUCUCUCUCUCUUCACACUUCCUCUCUCUCUCUCUCUCUCUCUCUAUUCCUUCUUUCUCACAUGUGUUUCUUUGUGAAUGGGUAAGUUCUCUAGUGGCCAAAGUUUUCUCUCUCGCCUCUGCUCAUGCAAUACAAUUUUCUGCAAUACGGCACUUAGGGUUCUUGACAAGGGCUUGAUCAUGGAUUUGGACACGGCUAUGGAUAAGAUUAUGAUGAAGUGCAGCAAAAGAUGACGGGGAAAAAAGGACCUUGUUUUAUGUUGAAAGGGUCCAAAGGAGGGGGGGGGGGGUGAGGUCCGUUCACCUUUCUCUGUCCUCCGUUCAAUUUUCACCUGCUUAAUAUCAGUUUUAAUUCAUUUUAAUUAAUGCUUUAUUAUUGUUGGAAAUACCUAGUUUCCUUUUUAUGAUUAAAGUUUUUUUUUUUUUUGAAACGUAUUCUAACUUAUAAGUUCUUGACCCUCUAGCGAAUUUAUGAUAGGUGAAUGAAACCGUCUUCUCUCUAAAUGAAAAAGGGAGAUGAAUUCUUUCAUGAAAUCACGGUGAAGAAAAGCCCCUAGCGUACAGAAGACUUUCUAUUUGCUUAAGAUUAGCGGAGAAAUCCCGUAUUCUCUAGCGGAAUUGCCGAUGUUGACCUACCUGGAUUUCUCCGAUAUAAUCUCACUGAACCAAUUCCACAAGAGCUACAGAACCUAAAGCUUGCCCUUUUCAAUGUUUCCUUCAAUAAGCUCUCAGGUAGGGUCCCAUACUUUCUAAUAUCUGGUCUUCUAGCUUCGUUCCUUCAGGGAAAUCUAGACCUUUGUGGAUUUGGAUUUUACCCAAUUCUUGCUCAGAAGAGGGGCCAGACAAAUUGACAUUUGUGCUGAUAUCCAUUGCUUUUGCUGUCUCUCUUGUGGUUGUUGUUGGCUUCUUUGUAAUGUACCGUUCCUCCAAGAAGAAAUCUCAUCUGGGAAUGGACGAGAAAGGUCUGUUGAUAUCCAUUACUGAACAGGACUUGAUAAUGGGAAUGGACGAGAAAGGUGCAAUAUGUAAUGGUGGAGCUGUUAAGAAGUUAAAGAGUGUAAGAGGUCAAUCUUCGAAAACUUUGAAGGCUGAGAUCAAGACUUUAGCAAAGAUCAGGCAUAAGAAUAUCACAAAGCUUUUGGGUUUUUUUCUAUUAUGAUGAUUCACUUCUCUUGGUAUAUGAAUUUAUACAAAGAGGGAGUUUAGGAAAUUUGAUAUGUAGAUCAGACUUUCAAUUAAAAUGGAGUAUUAGAUUGAAGAUUGUUGUAGGAGCUGCCCAAGGACUGGUUUGCCUUCAUCCACACUUAAUAGGAAUAUCAAAUCAAGGAACAUUCUUCUGGACAUGGACUUUGAAUCAAAACUCAUCGACUUUGCACUUGAUCAAAUUGUUGGUGAGUCUGCUUAUCAGUCAACGGUGGCUUCUGAAGCAGGAUCCUCCUGUUAUAUAGCACCGGGCAUAUAGAUCUCCGAAACCAUUACUGAAUGAUUAAUAUGUUUGAUAUCUGAAUUAACUUAAAGUGAGUGAAUUUGUUGUCAAUUAUUUUCAUUGGAUUACUUAAGCACUUCUAGAGUUGUCAAUAUAUUGGAAAAACUAUAUUGCUUUGUCA